UACGGAGGGGGCUAGCGUUGUUCGGAAUUACUGGGCGUAAAGCGCACGUAGGCGGCUUUGUAAGUUAGAGGUGAAAGCCCAGGGCUUAACCCUGGAACUGCCUUUAAGACUGCAUCGCUAGAAUCGUGGAGAGGUGAGUGGAAUUCCGAGUGUAGGGGUGAAAUUCGUAGAUAUUCGGAAGAACACCAGUGGCGAAGGCGACUCACUGGACACGUAUUGACGCUGAGGUGCGAAAGCGUGGGGAGCAAACAGG
rnacentral:rRNA from 1 species